rnacentral:lncRNA from 1 species
CCAAAAUUUUCUGCGCUGACCAUCACUUCUCAAGGGGAGGUUCUGACAAAACUUUCUUCUCUCACCGUCAGUUCUCCAAGGGGAAGUUCUGCCAAAAUUUUCUUGAGCAAGAACCUACCCUUUCUUGACGCACACAUACAAAUAUACACACAAAACAAAUUUUAACUUUAAGUGAAGAAGAGUACUUUGCUUCUUGUUCUUGAUGAUAGACUAGGAAAGAAGCUGCAGCAUCUGUUUAGAUGUUGUUGCUCGUCCUGUCCGAGCACCUCCUCUCUGGUUUUAUGAUCGGCUCCUCAAUCACCCGCCUUGUGCAGUCCUUCUCCGUUGUAUUCCUCUACUGGUUUUAUGUCUUCUCAGUAGCCUCCCUGUAGUUAGUUGUAAAUUUUGCAAUUAACUAAGCUUUCUCUAUAGGAUAUAAUUAAGGUAGUAACAAAGGGGUACGUAUACGUGACAAAUAAGAGUGCGAAACAGCUGAGAGUACACGAGAGGUGGUGAGACGUCACCAUGUCAAGUGGGACCUCAUCUGGAUCGAGUUUGGGGACCCGGAGCUCCAGGUCGGAAGAUGACCUGGACCUCCAGGCCCAGAUGGAGAGGAGGAGGAAGCGGAGGAAGGAGUCGAACCGGGAGUCGGCUCGGAGGUCUAGGCUGCGAAAGCAGCAGCAUCUCGACGACCUCACCUCACAGGUAUACAUAUGUGCUAUUUAUGUCCAAACAUAAGUCUAUCGUAGUUCAUGAUGGAAGCAUUGAUCCAAUGAUUUUGUCCAAUCGUCUCAAUUAUUCUACUUUUUUAUUCAUGUAGGCUUGCACUGAUGUGCAGGUGAAAAAAGCAAAACAGAUGUGAACAAAGGGCCACUUGAAAUAUCUGGCCAAACAAGCUCAAUAAUUGUACUGCCUUUUCCCUAAAGGCCCCACAAAAUCAUCUGUUGCUUGCUAGCUAAUUCACUGAAGAAAGCUAUAAAUAAAUAAAAUCCACCAUCAUGAUUUGCUCUUAUCAUUUUUUUUACCAAAGUCACCUGCAUAAAAAUGAGAAAAAGGUUAAGAGUCAUAUUGCUAAGAGGUAUAGUAUCAUGUCGUAAAACAGGUAAAGCAGCUGAAGGACCAGAACAAGCAGCUCAGCAUGGCACUAAGCAUAACCAGCCAAAACCUUGUGGCAGUGCAAGCACAAAACUCUGUUCUGCAGACCCAGAAGAUGGAGCUGGACAGCAGGCUGGGUGCCCUGACUGAGAUCCUCUGCUACAUGAACACUAUCACUAGCACCAGUGCCAGUGCUCCUACAAAUCCAGCCAUGGUGAAC